rnacentral:rRNA from 1 species
AACAGGUGGAGCCUGCGGUUUAAUCGGACUCAACGCCGGGAAACUCACCAGAUAAGACAGCUGAAUGAUAGUCGGGCUGAAGACUCUACUUGACUAGCUGAGAGGAGGUGCAUGGCCGUCGUCAGUUCGUACUGUGAAGCAUCCUGUUAAGUCAGGCAACGAGCGAGACCCACGCCAACAGUUGCCAGCUCGUCCUCCGGGAUGGUGGGGACACUGUUGGGACCGCCUCUGCUAAAGAGGAGGAAGGAAUGGGCAACGGUAGGUCAGCAUGCCCCGAAUUAUCUGGGCUACACGCGGGCUACAAUGGGUGGGACAAUGGGUAUCGACACCGAGAGGUGAAGGCAAUCUCCUAAACCCAUCCGUAGUUCGGAUUGUGGGCUGCAACUCGCCCACAUGAAGCUGGAAUCCGUAGUAAUCGCGUUUCAACAGAACGCGGUGAAUACGUCCCUGCUCCUU